AAAUCUUUUGUGUGUGUCUCCACUACCAGUCUGCAGGGCUACCAGUGGUAGCCCUCCUUUAACUCUUAUCACCCAGGUAUACCAGGAACUCUUGAGGGUUGGAAUUGCAGCUUAACCUUUGUAUUCUGAACACUGAGUGCUUGGGUAAUGUUAGCCUUUCAGUGGUGAUUGAUUUAAAAAAUGAAUCAUGAUAACAACUUCUUGCUUUAGGAACGAUCACUACCUUUUAUUAAAAAACCAAUGUAAUUUUUCCACAUUUCCUUCCAGCUUUUGCCUAUGAAUGUGUAUCCAUGAAUAUAUUAUAUCCUGCUCUUUCCCUUUACAUAAUUAUAUUAAGGCCUUUUCUGUGUUGUUAUUAUAUCUACUGUUAUUUCAGUGGAAAAGUAGACCCAGAAUGUGCAUUGUUUUGCCACAUAUUAUUUACAUUAGAUUGUGUUGCCACCUACCAAUUCUUUUUACUGUACAAGAUCAUUAUUGUAGUAAAUUGAGAAUUAGUUAUUUCGGUUUAGUAAUCACUCUAAAGUUGUUCUAUGAACAUGGUAAUGGGCCUUUCUAUAGGGCCAUAGCCCAAGUCCCAUAACUUUGUCCAGGUAUUAUUUUCAUUGGUCAGACUGACUAUAUGGCUCUCUAGUUUAAAGUUCUUCAACUAAUUGUAAACCUUUUGGGGGAAGAUGUUGUUGUUUUUAUGAACCAAUAAUUUGAAUAUAAUGUUUGAUAAGGUUUUAGGUUAUUUCUUUCUGAGUUGAGUAUGUUUAUAUGAAAAGUCAUAGUAUUUUAAGUAAAUCCUAUUUAGCAAAUAUUUUCAAUAAGCUUAUUUCUAAAAAGUAUAAAAUUACAUACAGGUGAGAGUGAGUGAUUUGUUGAAUUUAAAUGAUAAAUCAUAGAAUGAUGUUGGUUGGACAUAUUUAAGGACUGUCAGUAUAUGCUCAUGUAAUCCUAUCAGCAUUGUGAUUAAUUAUCAUCAUUAUCUCUUAUUUUAGAGAUGAAUAUAACCUGAGGUUCCUAUUGAUAUUGGUUCAUUACCCAAAACAGUGGAACCUGCUCAUCCUAUCUUUCUCUGAAAGUUUUAAGCAGAGACUGAAUUCAUGAAAUCCAUUCAUAUUCUGUAACAGAUCUCACUUUGGGUAUGAGUUUAAAAUAGAGAAAAUCUUAAGAUCCUUCAUAGUGAAGAAUUUUUAAAUAAUCUAAAGUACUUAGUGGUUAGAUCAUGAAGGGCCAAGGGGACUUAUAAUUGGGAAGUAAAGAGAGAAACGCAGCUCUGAAUCAGGAAAAAGUUCUGUGAUUUGACUUUCAAUUUUUGUUUUUCUCAGAAGGUUCAUAAUGAGGGCACAGAAAUUCAGGAUUGUCUUAGUUGGGAAGCUAUAAACUUGAUUGCUAGCUUUCUAAAAGUCUAUGGGGGAGUUUCCUAGAAUUGUCCCUACCUAAAUCUGAAUUUCAUUACUUAAAUAUGUAAUACUCUUUGCCUUUGUUGAUUGAAAUUAGUUUUAAUUACAUUUCCUUAAGUGGACUUGUAUGAAAAACAUCUUGGAUGUUUCCAAGACCAAAGGUUGAGUCAUUACAUAUAUUCAUUUUUAACUUGUUAUGUCUGGGCUGUUUGGGGUUUAAAGCCAUUAAUUUUAACUCAAGAUUACUGUCCCAAGACAAAUGAGAGGCAGAUGCUCACAUCUGGACCAUUUCUUGCAAAUAUUGUUUUAUUCACAUAGUUUAAAUUGUGUUAGAAGUGUUUGAUAGUGAUAAAGUCAGGAAUUUAGAGUGAAUCAUUGGACCUUCCCACUGAAAGGGGAAGAUUGAAACUUCCAGCUCAACAUAGACAUACAGACUCAACUAUUAUUUUUUGUUGAUAUUUUAAUUU